AGGGCACCACCAGGAGUGGAGCCUGCGGCCUAAUUUGACUCAACACGGGAAAACUCACCCGGCCCGGACACCGUAAGGAUUGACAGAUUGAGAGCUCUUUCUUGAUUCGGUGGUUGGUGGUGCAUGGCCGUUCUUAGUUGGUGGAGCGAUUUGUCUGGUUUAUUCCGAUAACGAACGAGACUCUGGCCUACUAAAUAGUGACAGGAUUAUUACUGUCUUGGAUACUUCUUAGAGGGACAAGUGGUUUUCAGCCACACGAAAUUGAGCAAUAACAGGUCUGUGAUGCCCUUAGAUGUCCGGGGCUGCACGCGCGCUACACUGAAGGAAUCAGCGUGCUAAAACCAUUGUCGAAAGGCAUUGGUAAACCCAUUAAAAUCCUACGUGAUUGGGAUCGGGAAUUGCAAUUAUUUCCCUUGAACGAGGAAUUCCCAGUAAGUGUGGGUCAUAAGCUCGCGUUGAUUACGUCCCUGCCCUUUGUACACACCGCCCGUCGCUGCCCGGGACUGAGCCGUUUCGAGA
rnacentral:rRNA from 1 species